rnacentral:rRNA from 1 species
GCUUGUGCCCAUACCAACCUGAACACUGUUCAGGGUUGGGCCUGGUUAGUACUGGAAUGGGAGACUAAGAAUACCAGGUGGCGUAAGCU